UACGGAGGGGGCGAGCGUUAUUCGGAAUUAUUGGGCGUAAAGGGCGCGUAGGCGGCUGUACAAGUCAAAGGUGAAAUCCCUCGGCUCAACUGAGGAACUGCCUUUGAAACUGUACAGCUUGAGGCCGGGAGGGGGUAGCGGAAUUCCCAGUGUAGCGGUGAAAUGCGUAGAUACUGGGAGGAACACCAGUGGCGAAGGCGGCUACCUGGACCGGUUCUGACGCUGAGGCGCGAAAGCGUGGGUAGCAAACAGG
rnacentral:rRNA from 1 species